rnacentral:rRNA from 1 species
AGUGAACGCUGGCGGUAGGCCUAACACAUGCAAGUCGAACGGCAGCACAGUAAGAGCUUGCUCUUACGGGUGGCGAGUGGCGCACGGGUGAGGAAUACAUCGGAAUCUACUUUUUCGUGGGGGAUAACGUAGGGAAACUUACGCUAAUACCGCAUACGACCUACGGGUGAAAGCAGGGGAUCUUCGGACCUUGCGCGAUUGAAUGAGCCGAUGUCGGAUUAGCUAGUUGGCGGGGUAAAGGCCCACCAAGGCGACGAUCCGUAGCUGGUCUGAGAGGAUGAUCAGCCACACUGGAACUGAGACACGGUCCAGACUCCUACGGGAGGCAGCAGUGGGGAAUAUUGGACAAUGGGCGCAAGCCUGAUCCAGCCAUACCGCGUGGGUGAAGAAGGCCUUCGGGUUGUAAAGCCCUUUUGUUGGGAAAGAAAAGCAGCAGGUUAAUACCCCGCUGUUCUGACGGUACCCAAAGAAUAAGCACCGGCUAACUUCGUG